rnacentral:tmRNA from 1 species
GGGGAUGCAACGGCUUCGACGGGGGCGAUGCAGCUUCGUAAGCGGGUAGUGCGCGGUAACACUUAAAUCUGCCGAAAUUUUUAAAAAUAAACGCUAACAAUAAAGUAGCAUUAGCUGCCUAAGCGCAGCCGUCUUGCCCUUCUUACCACGGGAAGGUUACAAGGCGAAUACCACAGUGGUCAACCUGAACGGAUUAUGCUCUUACUCCGUCAGGCAUCAAGAGCUACUCUGUUAAAAACUUUGGCUUUGGAGUCUUAACAGAGGAAUAAUAAAACAUAGCCUACACCCGUAGAAAUCGAUGUGAACUUGCUUUCGGACACGAGUUCAACUCUCGUCAUCUCCACCA